GUGUGGGAUUUGACUGCUGGAAAACUUUUGCAUGAGUUUAAGAGUCAUGAAGGGCAAAUUCAGAGUCUAGAGUCUGGAAACCAAAUGUCACAAUUAACCUAGUCGAUGACUUUACUCGGUACGUUAGUUAGUACUGGUAAUUGGUACCGGUAUGGCAUGCUUGCUUUUCUUUUGGUUUCACUCUUAACAAUGAAUUUCAUAAGACGUUUGCUGAUUGUUUUCGAGUUCCAUACAGCUAUCCACAGCAUGGUGUACCACCAAACAUUGCUCCUUGUAUCCUUUUAUUUCUAAGGAUGAUGUGCCUAUUAUAAUUUGAGUUUUUGACAAUUCUCUAUGCACAUCUUUCUCUAACAAUUGAAGCCACUGGCAUGUGUGUCAUCUUCCAUGCCAUUUUUAACAUUAGUUGGUUUAAACUAGUUUGAAAGUUCAAAAUUCUCAAGGACUAAAACGUGAGUUUCUGUGUUCUUGGAAGUGGUGCCACAUCUCUUUACAUCAUAUUUUUGUAUAAGAUGCACAAUAUGCUUCUUCUUUUUAUUUUCUUGCUUUGCUGUUAAUCGUUGGAUUGGUGAAUAUACGAGGACUUCACUUGUAUCCGCUAAACAGGAUGAAUCUUUUCACUAUUUCAGCCGUUGCAACUUACUUGCCAAAGCGAAAAGCAGAUAAGAAGAAGAGUUUGUUGGGAAAUCCCAAAGACUCUGAUGAAUCCAAAGUUGAAGUUGAGGUAUGUCUCUACAGAAACUUCUGAUACGGAAUUUUUUUAUAUGUGUUUAUGUUAAUGUUUAGCCUGUGAUGGCACUCAUUCUCAUGAACUAACCACAAAGCAAACUUCGCAGGAGGUUGAUGGUAAGGACUCGGAUCUCAAGGAUGAGGGCCCUGUGGAAUGGGUAUCCUACUGGAAACCAAAUGUCACAAAUAACCUAGUCGAUGACUUUACUCGGUAAGUUAGUUAGUACUGAUAAUUGAUAGAUGAAUAAUGGAUUUAUGGCAUCCUUGCUUUUCUUUUGGGUUCACUCUUAACAUUGAAUUUCGUAAGACGUUUGGUAAUUGU
rnacentral:lncRNA from 1 species